GACAGAGGAUGCAAGCGUUGUUCGGAAUCACUGGGCUUAAAGCGGGUGUAGGCGGCCCGACAAGUGUCGUGUGAAAUCCCACGGCUCAACCGUGGAACUGCAAGGCAAACUGUCGGGCUUGAGGUUGGUAGAGGUGCCUGGAACUCUUGGUGGAGCGGUGAAAUGCGUAGAUAUCAAGAGGAACGCCAGAAGCGAAAGCGGGGCACUGGGCCAAUUCUGACGCUGAGACCCGAAAGCGUGGGGAGCAAACAGG
rnacentral:rRNA from 1 species